AACCCAAUUGAAGGUAAUGUUCUCUCAUCAUAUAUUGUAUAUGAUAUAAUAUAAUUUUGAUAAUGUAGUAAACUGAUGAAUUUCAAUAUGACCUAAAUGUGCCUCCGUUAGUUGCAGAAAACACAGUGCCGGCACCUACCGAUCAGAGAGCAGCUGGAAAAGAAGAUUAAUCUAGAAGAGAAAAAAACCCUAAUUGAAGUUGCAGAAAACACAGUGCCGACACCUACCGAUCAGAGAGCAGCUGGAAAAGAAGAUAAUCUAGAAGCAGAGACCAACAACUCCAUUGAAGGGGCAGAAACCACAGUGAAGACUCCUACCGAACACAUAGCAUCUGGUAAAGAAGUUAAUCUG